GGGGCCGUAGCUCAAUGGUAGAGCGCUUGCUUCCCAAGCAAGACACGCGGGUUCGAUUCCCGUCGGCCCCUCCA
rnacentral:tRNA from 1 species